GAUGAACGCUGACAGAAUGCUUAACACAUGCAAGUCUUUGGCGAAGCUGUGCUUGCACCGCCUAGCCAAGGCGGACGGGUGAGUAACGCGUAAGGAACUUGCCCUGCAGUCAGGGAUAACAGACGGAAACGACUGAUAAGACCUGGUAAAGUCAGGCGGACUCAUGUCCAGCCUGAUGAAAAGAGAUGCUGCAGGAGAGCCUUGCGUCCUAUUAGCUUGUUGGUGGGGUAACGGCCCACCAAGGCGAUGAUAGGUAGCCGGCCUGAGAGGGUGGACGGCCACAAGGGGACUGAGAUACGGCCCUUACUCCUACGGGAGGCAGCAGUGGGGAAUAUUGGACAAUGGGGGCAACCCUGAUCCAGCAAUGCUGUGUGCACGAUGAAGGUUUUCGGAUUGUAAAGUGCUUUCAGCAGGGAAGAAAAAAAGGACGGUACCUGCAGAAGAAGCGACGGCUAAAUACGU
rnacentral:rRNA from 1 species